rnacentral:rRNA from 1 species
UUGCCUACGGGAGGCAGCAGUAGGGAAUCUUCCACAAUGGACGAAAGUCUGAUGGAGCAACGCCGCGUGAGUGAAGAAGGGUUUCGGCUCGUAAAGCUCUGUUGGUAGUGAAGAAAGAUAGAGGUAGUAACUGGCCUUUAUUUGACGGUAAUUACUUAGAAAGUCACGGCUAACUACGUGCCAGCAGCCGCGGUAAUACGUAGGUGGCAAGCGUUGUCCGGAUUUACUGGGUGUAAAGGGCGUGCAGCCGGAGAGACAAGUCAGAUGUGAAAUCCACGGGCUCAACCCGUGAACUGCAUUUGAAA